GGAACCUGGCUUGCCACCUUGUCCUUCCGCCAUCCCUAUUACUCUCCCUCAAUCUCCGGAUGACUUUUCUACUUAUGAUCUUGGAGUAUGAGCAAGUCACGCGUCCGUCACUACUUGAUGGGAUCUUAAAGGCAUCAGAAAGGAGAAGCGCCGCCACCACCAUCACCUGUUAGUUCAGGAUGCAGGUGUGAGGCAGCCUGGGGGCGCGGGCGGCCGGAAGGGGCACAGGAACUGCAGCCCCCACGCACCUGGAGACUCAUCCGCGGCAUCCGCGUACCCACAGCCCACGACCUCCCGCUCACCCUUCUCCUUGGUCACGAUGGAGAUGAGCGGCACCCGCGGGCGGUCGCUGAAGACCUCGGCCUGCUGCACCAGCGCCUCGCGCACGCUGUGGAAGUCGCUGAGGACCACCACCAGGUCGAUUUCUCAUUGUCUUCACCAAUCUUCUGAACCCGUGAAUACUUUUUGCAUGAUGAUUUGAAGCAGCCAGGAGGCCAAGACAGCGGCCAGGAGAAGCAGCAAGGAAUUGAGCCUUGUACAUUUUUCUCAAAAAAAUAAAAGAUGGGGAACCACCAUGCUCGAGAUAAGAAAUUAGUCUGUGAAGAGACCUUCAAGUUCUGUAAAUGGUAGAAAAAAAUUUAAAUGAGACAUAUCUUUCUCAAUUUGCAUCCCAAUUAUUUUCUUAAAUUGUCAUUCACUGUAACCUAGGGAAAACAGAAUUCAGAAUCACAUGGCAGUAAUGAUUUUCAUGUCCUUUCCCUAACUCUACCAUGACUCCGCUCCCCUAACACACCUAGGUGUCUUUCUUUCCUUUGUGGCUCAUGCAAUUUCUUCUGCCUGCAAUUCCAGUAAGAAUGGAGACUCUGGGAAUGGAUUUCAGAAUUAUUCAGGAGGAAUAAUUUUCAGGAUGUGUGAGUGAUCAAAUCUAGGGGCCAAGCAAGUCAAAGAGUGAAAGAAGAGCUCAGAAGUUGAACACAUUUAAGAGGAAAGAUGAAAAUUUUGGUUCAGUGGUGUCAGUAGUCAACUAGAUGGAAGUGUAAGAAGGAAGAUGGAAAUGGGAGACUACAAAAUAGGAAACAGAGCUACAAAGAGAAAUAAAGUAAUCCAAAGAAAGAGCAUUUAUUAGUGGACACCAAGAGUUGGACGUAGAUCCUUUGGAAAUGUAAUAUUUCAAUUGCUCACAAAUUCUCCAAAUUGACAAUAUGGCAAGUCUAUUCAAAGAUAAGUAAGUCAUGGUACACAGACCAACUCUAUUACACCAAGGACACAUACCAAGACUAGGAGAAAAGAGAGACUGGGAGGAAUAAUUCUGCCUUCGGACCAGAGGAAGAGAGCAAGAGUUAGAGACAGCUUCCUGGAAGAGGUGGCAUUUGAGCUAGCUCUUUAAGUUUCAAUGGGAGAAGAAAGAAAAGGCAUCUGGAAACAAGGAAGCAGCAGUAGCAAAUGAGGAAGAAUCAGAAGGGAAGCCAGAGAGCACCAUUAUCACCAGAGGAUAUACCAAAUCCAGUCAUUCAUAAGCUAUUUAUUUUGUGUGAUUUUAAACAAUAGCUGCUAUCGGCUGGGCACGGUGGUUCACGCCUAUAAUCCUGGCACUUUGGGAGGCCGAGGUGGGAGGAUCACCUGAGGUCAGGAGUUCAAGGCCAGCCUGGCCAACAUGGUGAAACCCUGUCUCUACUAAAAAUACAAAAUAAAAAUUAGCCAGGCGUGGUGUCGUGCACCUGUAAUCCCAGCUAUUUGGGAGGCUGAGGCACAAGAAUCGCUUGAACUUGGAAGGUGGAGGUUGCAGUAAGCCAAGAUUGCACCACUGUACUCCAGCUUGGGCAAUAGAACAAGACUCUGUCUCAAAAAAAAAAAAAAUUAAAAAAAAUAGCUGUUACCUUCUCCUUAAAAUUAAUUUAAGUUGAAGGCAGGAUUAUGUCUUACCC
rnacentral:lncRNA from 1 species